GCUUUAUCAGAUGCAGUCUAUAUCUUUCUGUAAGUCACCUUAAACAUAUAACUGCAAAAGAAAUUGUUGGAUUUUAGCCCCUCUUUAACUCUUAGAAUUAAACAUUUUUCCAAAUCAUCACCACUUUUUUUCGGGAGGGGAGAAUAUUGCUUGCUGCAGGCAUUAGGAACCUGCCCUAUGUCUCUAACCGGGAUUAUUACAGACAGCCCCUUCUCAGCAUAAACAGAUCAUUAUUAAAUUUUCUUCCUCCCACCCCACCCUGCCUCACUACAGGGAGAAAAAACAACCCUUGUCGAUCUUCUGAUGAAUUGAUCCACGGAGAAAGCCAGAAUGCACAGGAAAACAUGUCUGAAGGCACGGGGCAGAGGAGCGGAGCCCGGUGAGUCUGUUCAGAGGCAGUUCCUUGUGCCCAGCCGUGCUGCCUGCCAGACCUCCCCAGGGACGAUGUCCCAGAGCUGGGGCCGGUCUCCUCCGUUCCAGCAUCGCUCCCGCUCCCUGAGCAUCCUCCAGCGACCAUCGCCCACCGCCCCUCCAGAGCUGCAGACACAAAAGCAAAGAGAGCGCCUCUACAAAGCUAAACCACAUCACUGUUAACAACCUAAGGCUGCACUGUGGACAUGGCUAUGUAUGAUAAUCACUGCUCUUCAUGAGAACAUCUCCAGGAAUGCUUUUAAGCUCAGGCAAAACAAAGAUGAACUAUUUUAAACAAAACUUUUCCCUGCACUGCCCAGUGUGGACAGCUUGGAAAAUGUCAGCCCAAGCAGUUGAAGUUUAGCAGAGCUAUAAGGUGCUGAAAACAAGGCCAGGUAGGCAAACUCAGAUGACUGAAAACAUUAUCCCUGAACCCCUGCACCACCUCUACACAGCCCGAGUGUCCAUGGGCACUGUGCUAAACUGCAGAAAGACUUGGGAGAUACUACUGCACCUCUGAAGGCAUUGCCAACAGCUUUAGUGGUUUCAACCAGGUGGUAGGAUCUAAAUGUAGAUCAUGCCAUGUUUAACAUAUUGAGUUCUAAAGUCAAAUACUUGGGAAAGCCAUUCAGGUCUCUUGAGUCCUGGGUAAACACUCAAGUGCUUCCAGUAACAGAGGAGAAACAAGAAUGUUUAAAGAAAAGGAAAAGGCCUAAGCUGCAGAGGUUUAAGCCUCUAUUGGAAGAGAAAGUUCUGCUCGAGACAACUCAGAUAAAGCAAGGCUCUUUCAAAUUCAUCUCCCUAAAUACAGAAAACAGAUCUUAGCCCCAGCUCUCACAAGCAGAGAUUCAGCUCCAAUUUACUGCUCUCUGAGAUCACAGCAGUCACUCUGAGUUCUGCUUACUGUCUUGCCAACAACUUCACGUUCUACAGCUUCUUCUCUGAGCUGGACAGGCUUCUGCAUGAACAGACCUGUUUCCUCAAAAGCCUUGCUAUGAGGACUGCUGCUUGAUUCAAGCCCAUCUCUGCUUCCCCCUGUUUGCCUUUUGGAUACAUCAAGCCCAGCCUCCUACCCAAAAUCCUGCUACAGGAAAAACCCAUUGCUUGCUGCAGAGAGGAAGGUGACAUUGCUCUGAAUGCAGGAGUUUUAUAGCAAGGUCACUUGCUGCCUAAAGCCAGCUACAAAAGCAAGAUGGCUCUCAACAUCACCAUCAUUGGGCUCAGCUGAAAACAGGAGAUUUCACUUCAUUAAAAUUCAUAGAUCUUGUGACUCUUAUAGAAAUAGCAAGAAGAAUCCAGGAUGGCAGAGAUGAGAUAUUAGGGCCAAAGAGUACUGACUGAGAGCAAAAGCUCAGACCUCUGUCUGCCAAAAAUAAGCAUAUUUGGUAAGAGGUGGCUUUAAUUCUUAAAGUUACAUCUAACACAUUGAUCUUCAAUAUAUUAAAGCCUGAUUAAUUCUGUUUUUUCUUUACUGCAUCAAUAUGUAUUCAUAUAGGCAACCUAAUGCAAAGGUAUAUCUGCAGUACUGUUGGGUUGCUUGACAUGGCAAGUCAAACUGCACUAAACUUCCCCUAAACUUCUGACAGAUUUCAGAAUACAUUGUUCAUUCCCACAGAGAGUUUUGGACAUGGUUUCUACCAGCAGUAUUUUCUGAGCUAAUGCAGUGAAAGUCAUUGCCACAGCCUUUGUAGAUGGAUAACGUGGUGUUUCAUAGUGAAUGUAUCACAUUUGUGAUUGACUCUCAGCUAUUAAUUAAAUUCAUUGCUUCUUUUAGUCACAAAAGAAGAAAAAUGAUUAAUUAAAAAUCAGAAUUCACAGAUCAUAAGAAGACAUCACAGAAGCAACUGGAGAGAAAACCAGUAAUCAAAACAAAAACCAGCAACUGCUUGGAAAAUUAUAUUCUCUAAAAGCACUCCUUCAUUUUGGAACAAGACUCAGAAGCAAGACUUCAGUCUUCACCUAUUCUAUUUGACUGCGAAGUCCCAACAGAGUAGAUUCAUUUAAAUAAUUUUUUUAAAAGGUAUAUAAAAAUAUAUUGUGUGCUGCUGUAAAAGCAGCUGACAUCUAGGAUGAUAAACUCUCUAUUUAGACAUAAGCAUGCUGCCAUCUUCAACAGUUUUGCAUUUACUUCUCUUCAUUUAUUAUCACCUAUUAUAUUUGCAUCAAAAUAAAGUAGCUGGUUCUUCAGAGUUCAUCUGUUUGUGCAGUUCAUUUCCCCAACUCAUGCUUCAGGACUGUGAUAUCACAAUUACACCUUGCACUCUGAAGUUGUUCCAGGGAGAACUGCUGGGCCAUGACAGACAGGCAUUUAUUCCCCUUUGCUGCAAUGGCCUCCAGUAAGUACCCACCAAACAAGAAAUCAUGGGGAGUACCAAGCUUCAGUGACCAUACUCUGAUUGUCCAUGAUAAAGAAACAGGCCUGCAAGAAGUUACUUGUUUCCAGAGAAAUAAUGUUUCCAAGACUAAGAAACAAAAUUUCCCAAUGACAAAAAACAAAAACAAAAACAAACAAACAAACAAACAAACAAACAAAAACCACAACAACAAAAAAACCUGAAAAUUUAUGACUCACAGAAAUAAAAUCUGAAGAAGGAAUUUUUCUCAGGAAAAAGGGAACAAAUGUCCAGAAAGCAUGUGUAGGAGCAUGGCUUACUCAGCCUGGGUACCAGCAAGGUCAGAGAGAAAGAACUGAACCAAAAAAAGGCCUCUACAGAAUGCUUCUAACAGGCUGAAGCAACUGAGGCUGAGAAGUGCAUGUAUUGAUUAUGAUUCUCCAGACAGGCAAAUUCUAAACCAGAGAGCACCUCUGGUUCCAUAACUAACAGCAGCCUCAUGUCACCCACCAGGACUACAGCAAGGAACUCCAAACUAAAACCAAAACUAUUAUCUGUUUCAAUAACUCUGCCUUCAAAAGGCUCUGUGGGGGAGGAAGGUUGAUCAAUGAUGUUUAGGUCUACAAAGAGCACUACUGAAAUGACUGGGUACCUGGGAGUCCAGACAGAUCUUGGAAAAAUCUGCUGACUUAGAAAUCAAGGCAGCCAGAGUGGCUAUCCAGAGUGCUCCCAAAGACCUAACAAUCUAUCCCGUGAUCAGCACUGGUCGAGAUAUUCUAAGACAAGAAGUGACCUAAACCAGGAAAAUAUUAAGAGAAAUCUGCAUUGAAAUGCACCACAGGGGUCAACAGAGGUCAACAAAAUCAAAGUCUGCUGUAACUCAGGGCAACCACCAGCUCACAAACCCAAGAGGUCUAGAUCCAAGACAGUAUCUUGAAAAGAGUUCAGCUUGAAGAAACAGAAAUGUGAACUCAAACAGACCCAACUAAUCUCCUUGGAUUUUAUGUUUAAGAGAUUGAUUUAUUCCUGAAAAUUCUAUUGCUGGAACAUUUUUAUUCACUCUGUUUUCACACUUGGUCAAACAGAAUUAGAGAUUAACAGUUUUGUGAUCCCGUUUGAAAGCCUUGGUGGAUGUCCUUUCAGAUGAGUGUUGCAAGGAAUUAUGGAAGAGAAACUACAAGAGCUUUUAUCAGCAGUGAGCCAGAUGUCUCCAUUAUUUAUUCUCUUUUGCUGAUUCUGUCAUUUUAAUAUUUGUCCUUUUUUUUCCUCCCCUCUGCAAUCCUCUGUUCCAGCCAAAAAAUAUGUGUCUUUGUUACUGUUGCCUUUAAAAAUUUUAUGUGCAUGUUGCUAGGAAAGUAACAAUAACAGUUCUGUAGUAUGUUUUUCACAAGGGGAAGCCAAAACAUUUUCUAAGAAUCAAUUAAUCUUCACAACCCAUUUCUGAAGCAGACAUUAUUUUCCCCAGUUUACAGAGAGAUGAAAUGGCAGACAGGUUAAUUAACUUGCUCAAGGUCAUCCAGUGAGUUAGCAAUCGAGCUGCAAAAAAACCCCAAGAUUCAACAAUUCCCAUUCCCAAACCCUUCACCUAACCACUAAGAAAUAUCCCUUCUCUUCGGGCUUAAGUAUUUUGUUGAAAUCUAUCACUGACCACUUAUUCUGACAUAUUGUUGAAUUCCAAAUUAGUCAGUCUAAGUGACAAAGAUGGAAGCGUGGGGAGCUCCACAGCAUCCUUUGCCUGUUCAGCCUUGUGCAGAGCCACUACGCCGGACAGCUCCUCUCCCAUUAAAAAUGGAUGUGUUACAGAUCUCCUGCAGAACUGCCAAUAUCAUUGCAGGCACUGCUCCGAGGGCGCUGCACAAGAGACACACGGCACCGGCUCACUUUCCCCAGGAGGAGGGAAGGCUGCCUCAACAGCCUGGCUGCUGGGGAAAGCAAUCAACUCAAAAUACCAAGUAGCUUUGAAAAAUAAUUUCUGUUUUCCUCUUAAACUGCAUCUCCCUUCCAAGUGUUCCCUGUGUUAGACAGCUGGAGUGGCAGUACUUAAUAGUGACAUCUUUGUGGAUUCCACUCUGGCAUUAGUUUGAUGAGUUACUUUAAAGUCAAAAUAUCCUUUAAAUGCCCACCCAGAGUCUGUCAGUCUCUUAACACUGCGCAUUCUCUCCGGAGGGAUUUGCAAUUCAGAUGUCUUCACGGCUCAGCAUGAAUUGCUGUGCAACAAAAUACAGUUGAAAUUUUCCAAUUAAUCAUGAACACAUAAUGAAUAACAAAUUAUUUUUAAACAUGCAUGUAGCCAAUGCAGUUCUACCAAAUGCUCAGAGGGUCCUUCUACUUACUCAGAUGAUUUUGUUCCAUUAUUUAUGUCAGUAUUUAUUACAAUAAAAUGUUAGAGAUCAUGUUGCAGCACAACAGUUUUAAGCAUAAGACUUAAGAAUGAAGUUGAUCACUUUGUCAUACAGGUACUGCUCAAAUGCCUCAUUUCCAAGAUCAAAGGAUACAAGUUCAGACUCUGCUUUCCUCCAAAUGUCAAUAAACAAGCACCAAUGAGCAGA